UACGGAGGGUGCAAGCGUUAUCCGGAUUCACUGGGUUUAAAGGGUGUGUAGGCGGGCUGUUAAGUCAGUGGUGAAAUCUCCGGGCUCAACCCGGAAACUGCCAUUGAUACUAUCAGUCUUGAAUAUCGUUGAGGUGGGCAGAAUAUGUCAUGUAGCGGUGAAAUGCAUAGAUAUGACAUAGAAUACCGAUUGCGAAGGCAGCUCACUAACCGAUCAUUGACGCUGAGGCACGAAAGCGUGGGGAUCAAACAGG
rnacentral:rRNA from 1 species